ACUUGGCAUCACCUCAAAAGCCGUGUAAGAGUGCAUCAAAAGUAAAGCGCUGUGGCUGGUCUGUAGUGGUUAGAUUGACCGCCACAGCAGCUUGAGUCAAACAUAUCUGCAGAUAAUAAAGAUCCUCUGAUGAUGAUACUGAUGGAAAUGUUGUGUUUAUGGUGACGGAAAGAGCACGAAAGACCCUGGGUACGAGGUUGAAAUCUGAGUUGUUAAUACGCGUUAUAUCAGGUUCGUGUCGGUGAAUGUCUGCAAGCAUAGGUACAUGAGGUGUAGUUCGUGAAUGGUGUGGCUUCCCUUCGAAAUUUAGUCCUAAUUGACUCGAGUCCUUGGAUCCACAUGCACUGACCGCAAUACAUCUUCUAAUAACAGUCGUGCAAAGGGCUGGUUUCAAUUUAGGAAAAAGCAAAACUUACUGGGCUACUUGCAUGUAUAACUAAACAGUAAAAACGUGGUGGUAGAAAUUGUUGCAAAAUAUUUUUUUUUCCCGUUUAGACCAGAUAAAAAUAAUGAACUAUGUAGGUGACUGGUUGAUGAUUAACUGACAUUCAGGCCAACAUGUUUUAAUCUUCCGUUAAGUUUUACAAAAUUUGUUUUAUCGUAUUGUGUUUGUUUUUCCCUUAAAGAGUAAUGUCAUGCAGAUAUACUCAGAUUAAGUGGGAUAUAUAAUAUAAGACUUGGAAUGCGCGUGAAAUAUUAUUUUACUAGCUACCGAAAUAUAACUAAAUAAAGUAGAUUUAUAGCAUUUUGUAAUUUUGUUAAGGUUGCUUGCUGCAUUCCCAACGAGUAGCUCUGUCGGCAAAACUAGGUUAUAUUCGGAGUCGGUAAAUAAUAGAUAGCGCCACUGGCAGACUUGAUGGCAACACCCAACAAUUACGCCCAUUUCGUCGAUCAAUGAACGCAAGCUUUGAAAAUUGAACAGCCGGGACAGUACACGGCCCUGACAGAAAACG